AGUGGCAUGAACCGGUGCUUGAUUCCUUAUCCUUGACCAUAUACCUAGGUGUAUAGUCGAGGCUCUGAGGAUCUGGCUGAAAUCAGACGGUCACAACUUGAUCUGGAUAAUACCAGCGAAAGGAUCAUGCUUUCUGUCCUC
rnacentral:ncRNA from 1 species